UUCAGAUCACCAGAUAGUACAACGCCCAUCAGUAAAUGAGGGAUUCACAGACACAAUCCACGGAAAAGGCUUUUACCAAAUACUCUUCAUUGUAGUAUUGGCAUGGCCAACAUAAAGGACCUGUUGGUAUUGAGUCGAAAUAUCAGAAAAGUCUUUUUUUAUCUUUUUCCUUGUAAUGUAAUUUAAUUAGAACCUAGUUUGUUAAUUACACCCAGAUUUCUUUUAUAUUUUAUCAUAAAUAUGUUCUAUAUACUAGAAUUUUUCAUACAUUGUAUUUCUUCAAACUGUACAAAGCACUAUCAGAAGUCUAUGCAUAAAAACUGCUGUGUAUAAUUUAGUACAAUUUUACAUUUCGUUAGUAUUGUAGGUACUAAUUAAAUAUUAACCUUUUAUAUUUAACAAAGUUUUAGAGGUGUCAAAAACAGUUUUUAAUUAAUCAGUGAAUGAAUUAUUUAUGUCUCAUAUUUUAACUUCUUUUAGUAUCAUAGACGCUUGGUUAACGAAAGAGUUUUUGUAUGUGACAACAACCAUUAAAGUGUACAGUAAAUAUGUUUUAACUUUUUACAAAAUGUAUAUGAGACAGUUUGUUAAUUUUUGUUAGUAUUGUCAGCUAUAUCUUAUAUAUGACACGAUUUUAAAUUGGAUGUAAAUUCCUUUUUAUUUGUGACAAAUUAUUUAUGCUUCAUAUUUUUAAUGUGUUAGUCAAAGGCACCUAGUUGUUUAUGCAUUUUUGUAUAUGAUAUUUUAAGUAAAAUGGUUUUUAAUUUCUCGACAACUCAGUUAUUUGUGGUAUUUAUGGUGCAUAAUGUAAUGGGAUGUUGUAUUAGAUUUAAAAGGAGGACUAAAAUAAAUAUAAAUAGAUAAUACAUGUACUGCAAUAAAGAUAACUUAACCCUUUUAA